AGAGGUUUUGUGCACUGGGGUUUCGGUUGAUGUUUGUAUUUUUUCUUAUUAUGACUUAAAGGAAAAAACCAAAAUCUAAAAUUAGCACUUGUUUUUUCCAACUUGGAACUUUGUAAACACACCAGCUAUGGGGUGUGUGUGUGUGUGAGUGUGUGUGUGUGUGUGUGUGUGUUUGUGUGUGUGUGUCUUGCAAUAAGCAAUAUUACAAUUUCUUGACAUUUUCAUUGCUGUUUCUUGACAUAUUUAGUGAGGUUUUAAAGGUUUCUGGAGAGAGAGAGAGAGAGAGAGAGAGUGAAAAGGAAGAAAAAAAUGGCUAGCUUCCAAAUCACCAUAUGUUUCCAAUUGCAAAUUCAAAAGCAGAAGACAGGCCUUAACUCAAGCUGCACAGACUUUUGUGGGAGUUUUAGAGCUGGGGAGGCUUGCUGCAGCCAUGGAACACUUGGAAGAUGAAAGCCAAAUCAGUUCACUUUUAGUGUAGACACAAGUGAACCCAGGAACCCUUGGGAAGACAUCUCUGAGCACCAGGAAAAGUCACAUUGGGCCUUGAUGGAAAGAACGACACAUCACCUAGAGCUUAUGGACUUGGAGCUAGAUAGAGUCCUGGAUGAGAUCCUGAAUUGUCUUCCUUUGGGUAGCAAGUGAAUGCAUUUCAUGUAGAAGUGGUUAGCCAGUUACCAGAUAACCUCCAGGGAAAGGGAAUUCAAAAUAAUCCUCUCCAUUCUUGGCCAGCCCUGAAUAUUAGGAAAUAUUUCCUAUGUAAGAAGCUGAGGACUAGCUACGAAUCUUUAAGUUGAAAGUCAUAGCUCCCCAACUCAAAUUAUCAUGAUUUUUAAGAAUGGAUUAAUUGAAAAGUCCUCCAGAGUUGCUGAAGCAUAGCUGCAUCCAGUGGUUCCAAGACUGACUGGGCUGAUGUGUCUCUCACAGACUGUAACUGCGAGCAUGGAGGAUUCCGGUCCAUCAUUUCUAAGUCAAACAUCCAUCCCUAGGGACUGAGGGGGUUGGGGAAGAGGAAUCAGUCUCCUCUGAACCACAUGGGCUGAACAGAAUUACUAUGAAGUGGGAGAAGGAUAAUUACCCAAAAGAAAAAUA
rnacentral:lncRNA from 1 species